CUGUCUGCGGCUGCUAAGAUGACAAUUAAUAGGGAGCCAGAAGGUGAUUGCAGUCUCUGAGAAUUGAUUAUUCAAGGACUGAAAUUUCAGGGCAGUGUAUUGGUGCAGAGUCAUCCUCAGAGUCAAACAAACCUGGGUUCCAAUCAUAGCGCUUUGUGCUUUUUAUUACCUGAUUGUGAAAUCUUAGAACGAUUAGCCUUUUUCUUCUUCUUCUUUUUCAGUAAUGGCCUUUAACAGCAUUAGAUAUCCUAUCAGAAUUUAUCAACAUUGUUUCCUCCAUGUAACAGUCAAAAUAUCUUUAAAAUCUAGAGUCUCUUUCUAGCCCAUUUUUCAUCCAUUUGCAAUAUACAAUAUAACAUUUUAAUAUAUUUUUUCCCUUUUUUCUUUUGCCUCUUUUCAUUUAUUCUGUUCUUGUAGUUAUUUCUUCAAAUGCAAACAAAAUACCUAAAAGAAAUCUUGUGGACAAAGGAUUUAAAAAGCAAUUGAAUUCAGACCCCUCACGUUCAGGAAAUGAUUAUUAGAGAAAUUCCAAAAGUCUAUGUCUUCCUCAGUGUUUUCUUAAAUAACUUAUCUCAAAAUUCAUCACCAUGCAUCAACCAAAGGUGAGAAGUUAUAGAUUUCAUAUUGAAUCUAUUGGAAAGUAACUUCUAACUCAAUUUCAGUAGUUAGCGGUGGGAAGGGCAUCUAUCACUAUGUCUCAAUUUCAUUUUUGUUAUCCUAUUCCAGGCGUUCUUUCUGACACUCAAUUGUGUUAAUUUCAGAUUAUUAGCUAACAACAUUUUUUUUUUUUUAAAGAUUUUAUUUUAUUUUAUUUUUUUUCCUUUUUCUCCCCAAAGCCCCCCGGUACAUAGUUGUGUAUUCUUCGUUGUGGGUUCCUCUAGUUGUGGCAUGUGGGACGCUGCCUCAGCGUGGUCUGACGAGCAGUGCCAUGUCCGCGCCCAGGAUUCGAACCGACGAAACACUGGGCCGCCUGCAGCGGAGCGUGCGAACUUAACCACUCGGCCACGGGGCCAGCCCCUAGCUAACAACAUUUAUUACGUCUUGACAUCAUGUUGCUGCCUUCAAAAAAAAGAAAUCGCAUCCUUGACUCCACAUCCCUUUCUAUAG
rnacentral:lncRNA from 1 species